CCUACGGGGGGCUGCAGUGGGGAAUAUUGGACAAUGGGGGCAACCCUGAUCCAGCCAUGCCGCGUGUGUGAAGAAGGCCCUCGGGUUGUAAAGCACUUUCAGUGAGGAAGAACGCCUGGUGGUUAAUACCCAUCAGGAAAGACAUCACUCACAGAAGAAGCACCGGCUAACUCCGUGCCAGCAGCCGCGGUAAUACGGAGGGUGCGAGCGUUAAUCGGAAUUACUGGGCGUAAAGCGCGCGUAGGUGGCUUGAUAAGCCGGUUGUGAAAGCCCCGGGCUCAACCUGGGAACGGCAUCCGGAACUGUCAAGCUAGAGUGCACGAGAGGAAGGUAGAAUUCCCGGUGUAGCGGUGAAAUGCGUAGAGAUCGGGAGGAAUACCAGUGGCGAAGGCGGCCUUCUGGACUGACACUGACACUGAGGUGCGAAAGCGUGGGUAGCAAACAGGAUUAGAUACCCGAGUAGUC
rnacentral:rRNA from 1 species